rfam:Nippostrongylus brasiliensis genome assembly, scaffold: NBR_contig0015360
GUGGGGCACAGAGUUGCAGUUGUUCGAAUCGUAGAUCAAUUGUGCUAAGUUGUCCCGAAACUGAAUGGCGACCUUUGACAAGUGAACGAUGCUCAAUAAUCGGCUGCGUGUUAAGGUCUCGUACAUUU